GAUCUUCUUUGUUCAUAUGACCAAAGAACUGGCUCCAUACAUGCACUUAUACAUUUAAAGGAUCACAGUGGUUUAGUUGUCGGUUUGGUAACUUUAUUUCAGAGGAGGAGACAUUAGGAUAGAAGCUACAACCCUUCUUCCACUUUCGCCACAUAAACUGUUUUUAAGUAUUUAAUGAUCUGGGGCAGCUACUAUCGUCUCUCCUCCUGGCUUCACUGGGAAGCCAGGUGUAACCCUAGAUCAUUUGUUUUCCAUAAUGGCGCUUCCACUAGUCAGUUGCGGUCGGAGGAGAAAUGUAAACGUCAUGGAAAUGAUGCUGCUGGCCGCAAUCUCAUUUACAUUGCAUUAACAUUACAUUUAAAUUGUUCCACCCAUUUCAAUGAGUCGGUUUUAUUCAAGGUUUUAUGUGGAGUAAGAAAAUAAGUUAUAAAUGGUAGAUGAACUGCAUUUAAAUAGCAUUUUUCUAACCAGUGGCCAAUCAAAGCAAUUUACAAUCAUUGUCUAAUAUUCCCCCAUUCAUACACACACCGACAGCCAUGUCAUACAUGCAAGGUAACCGCCAGUUCUUCGGGAGCACUUAAGGCCCUUACACACCAACCAGAUUAUUGGUCGUUGGACAGUCUGGCGAGAUCAGUGACCUGAGUCUGUUUGGUGUGUGCUGUGUGAUCGUCAAAGCCGUCGGUGAUCUUUUCACGCUGUAUUCUUGUCAGCCGAUUGCACAGGUUGAAUCGGCCAUGACCAAAUCGGUCGGACUGCCUUUUCCCGCCAGACUGUCCGACGACCGAUAAUCUGGUUGGUGUGUAAGGGCCAUUAGGGUCUGGGGUCUUGCCUAGGGAAAGCUCGACAGCGGGAUAGAACUAGCAACCUUCCGGUUACAAGUCAACCCGAGGGAAAAAAAGCACGAACAGCAGUUAUGGGAGGGAGCCGAGCUGUUUGAGUUCAUCAGAGUUCGUCAGAACUUAAGAAAGACCCAGACACCACACAAGGCUUCUGAUGCUGAAGCCGAUGCAGCAGAAUGAAGGUAUCAUGGAUGGUUGCUGAGGUGGGACCCAGCCGGACUGUACCGAUGGAUCAGACCUGUUGGCUCCAAGUUGCUGUGACCACAAACCUAGCAAAACCCAGUGGAGAUCCUUCGAUUCCUUUUAAUUGUAGGGGUUGUGCAAGGAGGGUGAUGGAUGGAAUGGCUACAAGAGGCACCGCUUUCUAAAGAUACAAGGAACUAUUUCCCACCCACCACAUCUGGUAGGUGUAGGGACCAGACAUUGCAGAAGUGAAUGGAGCCCUUUAAGUCUCUUGAAAUUCCUUUUCUACAUCUAGAACAUAAAAAGCUGUAGGUGAAAACAGCUAGAGGUAUCUUAUUUCGUCUGUGUGCUGGUCAGGAGGUAAGCCGACAUUGAGUGAUCCAGGAUCAGUUAACCAAGCCAGACCAUGUCCCGGUAUUUAAAGAUAAAAUGUAAUGAAAAACAACUUGACGAGUUGACGUUUGAUUACACUUGCCUAGUUAUAGAGAUGUGCCCUAUUGAGAUUAGUUUUAGACCAGUUUUAAUAUUUAAGGUUUAUUUGUUUACCUUCUCAGUUUAAACCAUAUAUUCUGUUAUAUCAUCUGCCCUGAUCAUUAUACAUCAUCAUUCUAUUCAUGCAGCUGUUGGAAAUAUUCAAUAAAUUCCUCCUCUUUUACCAUCAUAAUGGGUAAUGCCACUGUUGGAGAAACCUACCAGAUAGGCCAGAUGUCUGUAUAUCUUCAACACACUCUUCUUGUAAUAAAAGAUUACUUGUUUUACUCUA